CCUACGGGAGGCAGCAGUGGGGAAUAUUGGGCAAUGGGCGCAAGCCUGACCCAGCAACGCCGCGUGAAGGAAGAAGGCUUUCGGGUUGUAAACUUCUUUUGUCAGGGAAGAGUAGAAGACGGUACCUGACGCAUAAGCCACGGCUAACUACGUGCCAGCAGCCGCCGUAAUACGUAGGUGGCAAGCGUGGUGCGGAUUUACUGGGUGUAAAGGGCGUGUAGCCGGGUUGACAAGUCAGAUGUGAAAUCCUGCGGCUUAACCGCAGAACUGCAUUUGAAACUGUUGAUCUUGAGUAAUGGAGAGGCAGACGGAAUUCCUAGUGUAGCGGUGAAAUGCGUAGAUAUUAGGAGGAACACCAGUGGCGAAGGCGGUCUGCUGGACAGCAACUGACGGUGAGGCGCGAAAGCGUGGGGAGCAAACAGGAUUAGAUACCCUGGUAGUC
rnacentral:rRNA from 1 species